rnacentral:rRNA from 1 species
UUGGUAUCUUAGUGGCGGACGGGUGAGUAACGCGUGGGUAACCUGCCUUACACUGGGGGAUAACACUUAGAAAUAGGUGCCAAUACCGCAUAACAGAGGGAGUCGCAUGACUUCGUCUUAAAAACUCCGGUGGUGUAAGAUGGACCCGCGUCUGAUUAGCUGGUUGGCGGGGUAGCGGCCCACCAAGGCGACGAUCAGUAGCCGGCCUGAGAGGGUGAACGGCCACAUUGGGACUGAGACACGGCCCAAACUCCUACGGAAGGCAGCAG